rnacentral:rRNA from 1 species
UAGGGAAUCUUCGGCAAUGGGGGCAACCCUGACCGAGCAACGCCGCGUGAGUGAAGAAGGUUUUCGGAUCGUAAAGCUCUGUUGUAAGUCAAGAACGAGUGUGAGAGUGGAAAGUUCACACUGUGACGGUAGCUUACCAGAAAGGGACGGCUAACUACGUGCCAGCAGCCGCGGUAAUACGUAGGUCCCGAGCGUUGUCCGGAUUUAUUGGGCGUAAAGCGAGCGCAGGCGGUUUGAUAAGUCUGAAGUUAAAGGCUGUGGCUCAACCAUAGUUCGCUUUGGAAACUGUCAAACUUGAGUGCAGAAGGGGAGAGUGGAAUUCCAUGUGUAGCGGUGGAAUGCGUAGAUAUAUGGAAGAACACCAGUGGCGAAGGCGGCUACCUGGUCUGCAACUGACGCUGAGACUCGAAAGCAUGGGUAGCGAACAGGAUUAGAUACCCUGGUAGUCCAUGCCGUAAACGAUGAGUGCUAGGUGUUGGAGGGUUUCCGCCCUUCAGUGCCGGAGCUAACGCAUUAAGCACUCCGCCUGGGGAGUACGACCGCAAGGUU